GUGAGAAUCAGAAGAUGGACGAGUGUUACUUCAUAAUAGAUGGAAGAGAAAAUAACAGGAAACAGAGCAGAUCAUGUCAACUAUCACUCACUGGAUCUGACAUCAUUAUUUGGUCAGGAGGUCAGAGGUCAUCUGUCAUCAUAACCUGCUUCUACACUGUGAAUAUAUCACAAGUUCCAAUGCCAUCUCCACGUUCAUUUACAGUAACAGUAACAGUUCAGAGCACAGAAAUGUGGGUAAUAAUACAGUGGUCAGCAGUGGCGUGCUCUGCGAUUGUACUCACAGGACUCAUAUGUCUAUGCACAUUUGCAU